rnacentral:rRNA from 1 species
AUGGCGAGGCUCAGAGUAGAAAAUCCACACCUCGUGCAGUAUGAGGCGGAGUGGUUCUAUAAGUGGCACCAUGAGUGUGAGAAGGCGAAUGUCAAGAAGGAGGAAGAGGCAGAGCAAGGAGGAAGAGGCAGUGCCUUCACGGGUGAUAAAAAGUGGAGUCCGACGACGAGGGUUCCGACUUUGACUGGGAGGGCCUUGCACGUGAGAGUGAUGAGGUGUAGUUGUCUAGUGUCUAUAGUGAAAAAAAAAUCUGUAUCCCGGCGGUACGCGGGGAAUAGGAUCCGCCGCUCCUCCUCCACUCCUUCCUCUCCUGAGCCCGCGCACGGCCGGCGCCAGCCACCUCGAGGCUUCCCCUCCAUCUCCAUGGACGCGUCCUGCCUCCCAACGGAGGCGGCGACGGGUGCCGACCGCGAUUCGGACCCUCCAAACUCGGGACAGGUAAGAACAGAAGAGGAACUAUACGUGGAAUCCUUUCUAAAGGUUUCACUUCUGCUAGCCAACCAGGAGUUGAUCAAGGUUCAACUUCAUGGCUAUAAGAUGCUUCAGCAUCUCCUGAAAUACAGGAGUGAAAAACUUAGCAGCGCUAAUCUUCUAAAGUUGAUGUUACAGCUGGUUAAAUCCGAUCAUGAUUUAGUUUUAGAGAGUACUGACAGUAGAAGCAGCAUGCCAGAUAAAAGACCCCAGAAUAGUGAUUGGAGUGCGGCACCCACGGGAAUCAAUGAAACAAUUUCUUCUCACCAAGGAAUGGACUGUCCUAUCCUUGCAGAGCAUAAUUUAUUAUGCGAGGCAUUUAUUAUUGCAACGUCUUGUCUAGGGUAUGAUUUGCUUCCACUAAAUUGGAUUGCCUGGUAUCCAACUCUGCUCCGUUGUAUACAUGUACUUUGGACGGCGGAAAUUGGUGUUGACUUGUUGCCUGCAGAAGUUGAAAAGGCUAAAACCUUGAGCUGUAUGGAGCUUGAUCAUUUGCUUGAAAUUUCUGAUGGGCUGUAUACUAUUGACAGUGAGGAAUCGUUCCGUGAGAAUGAGACAAGGGCACUGUUAGAGGGAACUCGACAGAGGGUGUACAAUUUUAUAGGUCUGUGUACAACCAUUAAGGGGGCAUUCCCUAAGUUGUUGGAAAGUCUAUCUGUUGGUAAUGCGUUCACGGAAGCUUUAGGGUGUAUGGAAUUGAGACAUUUAGGGAAGCUUAUCCGUCUUGUAGUUAUUCCUCUGGUCAAGCAUUGUCCCCGUGAAAUCUUGGAGGAGUGGACAGUCAACUUAUUAGAGCCCAUACUAUUGGAGUGCGAGGAUAGACUUCAUGAUGUUAAACCUAUCUGCAACAAGGACACUGUCUCUUCUCAAGAUUUGGACUCUAUGGCACCAUCUUCUUUCUGCAGGUUUCUUCUACAUCAUAAUUUCUUUGAGAAGUUGAGGAUGAGCUUCUUUGGAUACUUUGUGGAUGAUAAAGCAGCAAUCAAGGCUCUUCACUUUUGCCGUUAUCUGAUUCAGCUUGCAGUUUCCACAAAUGAUGUGCGGCUUGAGCGUUUGAUUGUAGAUGAUCUGCUCCCGUGUUUGAUAUGGCGUCUAGACAAUGAGCUCCAAUGUGCAACCCAAAGUCUAAGACAUGAAUCAGGGUCAAGUACAGAUGGUAGUGUGGACAAAGAGCUGCAUGCUCUUUGUGAAGACUUGUAUGUUUAUCUGGUAAAGGAAUUGUGCAGGAAAGUGGAGAUAACUGGAUUGGUUUGGGAGGUGAUGGGCGCAAUAUUGGGUAGAUGGGUCUGCGACUUGGUGGCGUUAUAUAUGGUUGGAGUUGACGGCCGAGGAUGGGAGAGGCAAGUGGAUAUCUGGCGGGCUCCAGGGACGAUGGUUGAUGCUGUGCCCAGAAGGUGUCUCCGGACGAUGAAUCAUCAGCCAACUGGUGUUGCGAUGCCGGUUUGGUGCUUUGGAGGGAAGGGUAACGGGGAUUCUGACGGAGAAGAUAAAGAAAGCCGCCGCGCUGAAAACAAUUAUACAUCCUGGUUGGAAAAUGAAAUGGAAAAUCUUCGAGUAAAGGCGGGCUCUGCUGCUAAGGAACUUCUCGAGGGAUCUGACUGGAAUUGGGAAACAUUUCUUGGUUACAACAUCCUCUUUCAUGUUACAACCAGUUUGAAGAUGAAUUUCAGAGAUACCUUCCUGCUUAUAUGGAAAUGUUGGAACAAGUGGAUUCCAUGGAUGUCUCUGAUGAGUUUUUCGAUAAAAAAACAGUUUCGUAGGCAGACAUUACUUCUGGUUGAUGGUACUCUGCAAGGCUUGUUGUCAAUGCCUUCUCUGAUAUCAAGGGACCAAUACAACUUCUCUGAUUAUAAACACCUGCAGCGUGAUUAUUUGAAAGAAGAAGCUCUCUUACAGAAAUUGAGGCCAGAGUUCAGAUCUAAGUAUGGCAUCAACAGCUGUGAGCACCCUUAUAUGUUGACCAUCUCAUCUUUGCGGCAAGUCUCCGAUUGUUCUUCUGAUAUUAUUCGUCGUCUCCGCGAUAAAUCUGAGAUACAAUAUGAGCUUCCUGAAUGGGCUCUGUUACCAUCCGUUGAUUUUCUGCACACUGUAUUACUUCUUUGGGAACCUGUAUAUCAUCCUCUGAUACGCCAGAGCCACAUGGCCACACUUUUGUGGAUAGUUGAUCAUUAUAACAAGGGGAGUAAUAGAGAAUACGUGCAGCAAGUAGUACCAGCUACACAUGAUUUUAAGUUGCAUUUGCAGCCUUAUGCAUACGCAUUUUUUGAGACUAAGCUUAAAGAUAACAAGACCAAGGUUAUAGAACUUGCUCAAAUCCUGGACCUAGGCUGA